GCCCCAAUGGCGUAGUGGUGCAGCGCCUGGUGGCUUUUCGAGUUUGGCUAACUCGAGAGGUCGUCGGUUCGAAUCCGGCUUGGGUCG
rnacentral:tRNA from 1 species